rnacentral:sRNA from 1 species
GCCAGGUGUGGGGGUGCACACCUGUAAUCCCAGCAACUUGGAAGGCUGAGACAGAAGGAUUUCAAGUUCGGGCCAGCUUCAGCAACUUAGCAAGACCCUGUCAUUC